GACGUAGGGCGCGAGCGUUGUCCGGAUUUAUUGGGCGUAAAGAGCUCGUAGGCGGUGUGUCGCGUCGGCCGUGAAAACCUGCAGCUUAACUGUGGGCGUGCGGUCGAUACGGGCAUCACUGGAGUUCGGCAGGGGAGACUGGAAUUCCUGGUGUAGCGGUGAAAUGCGCAGAUAUCAGGAGGAACACCGGUGGCGAAGGCGGGUCUCUGGGCCGAUACUGACGCUGAGGAGCGAAAGCGUGGGGAGCAAACAGG
rnacentral:rRNA from 1 species